rnacentral:misc_RNA from 1 species
GUUUUGAGAAAAAAAAAAUUAGUGCAAUAAUUAUUCAAUCAAAUAAUUAAGGGUCCAUUUGUGAGGAAGAAUCUGUCCGCUUAAGUAAAAUGGCGAAGCCAGCAGUUAAGCCUUAGAGGUUAUGGCAAUUACAAGUGUAUAAAAGCUGGAAAUAUUUUCACUAUCGUAUGUGUUCAUUGAUCGAUAAAGUCAUUCUGUUCUUUGUUAUCCUCUGUUCUCCUUCUGGGUGCUGGUUUCAGAAGAUGUAAUUGGUUCAAUGGAAUUAGUACUUUCCCUGACUGUGCCCUUAACUACCAUAUCACCAUUUCAAUUGCUGAUAACAAAAGGUCUCAAGAGUUGAAGAAGAUCGAGG